AAAGUCUGUUUGCCCAAGCCUCUGAGAGGGAUGAAGAUAUUGUUUUCUUUGAUCAGAUUAUGCCGGUAAAGGUUUUCUGGUUUACCCUAUAGGGCUUGUAGCUCAGUUGGUUAGAGCGCGCGCUUGAUAAGCGUGAGGUCGGAGGUUCAAGUCCUCCCAGGCCCCCCAGUUACACGAUGCUAAAAGUUGCUAUAUUGGGAGAGUUGAUAAUCCCUUACAGGAAAUUAUUGCCCUUAAUAAAACUUUAUUUUCUAAAAGCAUUCAGAGCUGACAUAGAAUAGAGCUGACAUAGAAUUGAGAAUCUGACAUAGGAAUUAUUGAAAUUGUUUUGGAAUUAUUGAAAUUGUUUUCUAUCAUUUUAAAAGGCUAAAAUAUUCUGUCUCUAUUUUUAAAAUAGCAUCAGGUGUUUUGUAAGAGUGUGAAGUUUUUAAGCUGUGAGGUUUUUUAUAUUUUAGUGUGACGGUUUUUAUAAGGGUAUGACGUGAGAGCGU
rnacentral:misc_RNA from 1 species